UCUGGUGACAAUGGUAAGGAGGUCACACCUGUUCCCAUGCCGAACACAGAAGUUAAGCUCCUUAGCGCCGAUGGUAGUCGGACUAACGUUCCGCUAGAGUAGGACGUUGCCAGGC
rnacentral:rRNA from 2 species